CAUUUUACCCACAUUCAGCAGACCAAGACGAGGAAAUCAAAAUUGCAGGCAUAAUUUUUAUUUAAGUUCAUUGCGGUUGUCUUGCUGUCUCACUCUGGCACAGGCCAGUGCCAUUAGCAGAAUUUUGUCAGCUGUUUAGCAGCCGCGCAUACACAGAGCCCAAGCAAACGAAACGAAAAGAAAAAAAAACAAACAGAAAAGAAAAAAGAGUUGCCAGGCCGGGCCAAAAGUCGGAAAGUCAGUCAAAAGUCAGACGUCUAGAAGAAGACCCAGAGCCAGAGCCCUCAAAGCAAUAAUGCGAGUAAAGGCACCACACGAUCGUGAUUUUGGUCACAAUGCACGCGGCGGCGGUGGACGGGAACGCGAUAAUGAUCAUCGUGGAGGCGGUGGUGGUUCGCGUUUCGGCGGCGGCGGCGGUGGCGACUAUCAUGGUGUACGCAAUGGACGCGUUGAGAAACGUCGCGAUGAUCAUCGUGGUGGCGGCGGCGGUAAUCGCUUUGGCGGAGGCGGCGGCGGCGGUGGUUUUGGUGGAGAUCGUCGUGGAAACGGUGGCGGCGGAAGCCAAGAUUUACCUAUGCGCCCCGUGGAUUUCUCCAACUUGACACCAUUCAAAAAGAACUUUUAUCAGGAGCACACAACGGUGGCCAAUCGCUCGCCAUAUGAGGUACAACGCUAUCGCGAUGAACACGAGAUCACUGUGCGUGGACAAGCGCAGAAUCCCAUUCAGGACUUCAAUGAAGUCUACUUGCCUGACUAUGUCAUGAAGGAGAUUCGUCGUCAGGGCUACAAGGAGCCAACACCAAUUCAGGCUCAAGGCUGGCCAAUUGCCAUGAGUGGCUCCAACUUUGUGGGCAUUGCCAAGACUGGCUCGGGCAAGACCCUGGGUUACAUUCUACCAGCUAUUGUACACAUCAACAAUCAGCAGCCGCUGCAACGAGGCGACGGACCUAUUGCCCUGGUGCUAGCCCCCACCCGUGAGCUGGCACAGCAGAUUCAGCAAGUGGCUACUGAGUUCGGCUCAUCGUCAUAUGUGCGUAACACAUGUGUCUUUGGCGGUGCCCCGAAGGGUGGCCAGAUGCGGGAUCUGCAGCGUGGCUGUGAAAUCGUUAUUGCCACUCCCGGCCGUCUUAUUGAUUUCCUAUCUGCUGGUUCGACCAAUCUUAAGCGUUGCACCUACCUGGUAUUGGACGAGGCUGAUCGCAUGUUGGACAUGGGUUUCGAGCCCCAGAUUCGCAAAAUUGUCUCACAAAUUCGUCCAGAUCGCCAAACGCUCAUGUGGAGUGCUACCUGGCCCAAGGAGGUGAAACAGCUAGCAGAGGAUUUCCUUGGCAAUUAUAUACAAAUCAACAUUGGCUCCCUAGAACUCUCAGCCAAUCACAAUAUCCGCCAAGUGGUGGAGGUUUGUGAUGAAUUUAGCAAGGAAGACAAAUUAAAGAGCCUUCUGUCCGAUAUCUAUGACACCAGCGAGAAUCCCGGAAAGAUUAUCAUUUUCGUAGAGACAAAGCGUCGCGUUGACAAUUUGGUGCGCUUCAUUCGCAGUUUCGGAGUACGCUGCGGAGCCAUUCACGGCGACAAGUCACAAUCGGAACGUGACUUUGUUCUCCGUGAAUUCCGUUCGGGCAAAUCAAACAUCUUGGUAGCCACCGAUGUGGCAGCCCGUGGUUUGGAGGCCGUUUAUUGUAGUAUGAUGGGGAGGAUAUUAAAUGAGAAACGACCAUUGCGAGUACUCGUAUCUUGAGCCGACUUUUGCCCAGAUUAUAAUAUGAAUAUAUAUCUAUAUACACAUAUAUGAGAUAUAGAAUGACAAUUGAGCAAAAGGAUCGAUAAUCAUUCGAAAAGCGCGCGUAUACGAGACGAAUGUGAAUGGAGUGACUACUAUCCCCAACAUCAUGCAUCAUACGUGGCCUCUGCAGUCAGUUUGAGAAAGAGUUCAAAUGUAACUAAACUAAACUGAGAAAAAAAAUCAAUCAAGCAACAACAAACCACAACAACUUAAUCCUCCCAGCCCAGUUGAAGGCAGCGUUACCGUAAGCAGGCAAAUGGACGGACAGACAUCCGAGAAAGGCGGCGCUGCUGUCUUCGUUGCGGGGUUGGCCGGCCCGGUUGGCUAAGCACGAGUGCGCACACAUUGUAUACAUCAGUCAGUCAGCAUCAGCGCCAGGCAGCAACAGAACAGUAUCGUGAAUCUCGGUGAACGACGUGUUGAGAACGGUGAUCGGUGAUCCUGACAUGCAAGAGGAUGCACAAUUGCCACCACAACCUGUUCCCACUCCAACGCACAAACAAACAAAUACACACGAAAACCCCCUCACACACACACACAAAAACACACUUGACAUUUGCUCAUGUCACCCAACCACCACCACCACCCUACACCCCACAUCAAUCAAACCACCAGCAGCAAAUAGCACGCCCAGAGCUCGCCUAGUUGCUUGCGGAGAGAGGACUGAACGAGGGAUAAAGGGAUAGCUGUGUUUUGGGGUACGGAUGCGGAGUUAAUGAUGAUGAUGAUGAUAUUGCUGCUGCCCACGACGUAGUCGCUGCUGCUGUUGAGUGCGCCUAGCUACCAAUUGAGCCACCAUGCCUACUGCCGCUGUCUGCGGCGCGCCCACCUACUGCCUGCCUGCCUCCUGAGCAUGAGCCGCCCGUCUGUGGUGGCAAUUGCUCUACUGGACACACCGCUCGCUUGUUGUUGUUGCCUGCCUACACCUGCCCCCCUCCUUUCGCGGGGGGCCAAUGAAUGGCAUUCGUGCGCCGCCUAUACGUCCUCCUCCACUUCUUCCUUUCGUUUCAUCUGGAGGAUGACUGGCGCCGCCCGUUGCCGUUUUUGGCCCACACACAACGGACACAGUCCGAGUAUAUAGAGAGUCAAGCCUCGAGUCAAAUCGAGUCAGAGGCGCACGCGGGGCUCAGACGCAACAAACUCUCGCCGCUCGCUUACUUCGUGCGAUUUGAUAUUUUGAUAUAUUGACCAAUAUAAUGCAUAUAUAUUACGGGAGAGUUUGGAACCACGAGCUGCGCGGCGUCACGAAAAACUUUGAGAUUUAUAAUUGAGAGAAAAAUUGAGUGAAACAAUUUAUAGCACCCCCAAGAAGAUGUGGAUGGCAUUAAGUAUGUCAUUAACUUUGACUACCCACAAAAUAGCGAGGAUUACAUCCAUCGCAUUGGACGCACAGGACGCUCUAAUACCAAGGGCACUUCAUUUGCCUUCUUCACCAA